UAACAAGGAUUCCCCUAGUAACUGCGAGUGAAGCGGGAAAAGCUCAAAUUUAAAAUCUGGCAGAUGUUUGUCUGUCCGAGUUGUAACCUAGAGAAGUGUAACCUGUGCUGGACCGUGUACAAGUCUCCUGGAAUGGAGCAUCAUAGAGGGUGAGAAUCCCGUCUUUGACAUGGACUACCAGUGCACUGUGGUUGUGCACUCAACGAGUCGAGUUGUUUGGGAAUGCAGCUCUAAAUGGGUGGUAAAUUCCAUCUAAAGCUAAAUAUUGGCGAGAGACCGAUAGCGAACAAGUACCGUGAGGGAAAGAUGAAAAGAACUUUGGAAAGAGAGUUAAACAGUAUGUGAAAUUGUUGAAAGGGAAACACUUGAAGUCAGCUGCAUUGGCUGGGGAUCAAGCCAGCUUAUUUGCUGGGUGUACUUCCUGGUUGAUGGGCCAACAUCAGUUUUGACCAUCAGAGAAAGGCUAAGGGAAUGUGGCACCUUUAUAGGUGUGUUAUAGCCCUUGGUUGUAUGUGGUGGAUGGGACUGAGGAUAGCAGCGUGCCGCAAGGCCGGGUUUCGACCACGUUCACGCUUUGGAUGUUGGCAUAAUGGCUUUAAGUGAC
rnacentral:rRNA from 1 species